GUGCUCACUCCAGCAGCACAUGUAUUAAAAUUGGAAUGAUGCAGAGAAGAUUAGCAGGGUCUCUAUGCAAGGAUGACACACAAAUUCAUGAAGUGUUCCAUAUUUUC
ensembl:snRNA U6 U6 spliceosomal RNA